CCCUUAGAUGUUCUGGGCUGCACGCGCGCUACACUGAAGCUAUCAACACGUUUUCCCUCCCUGAGAAGGGCGGGUAACCUUUUGAAUCAGCUUCGUGGUAGGGAUCGGGGCUUGCAAUUGUUCCCCGUGAACCAGGAACUCCUAGUAGACGCGAGUCAUAAGCUCGCAUCGAUUAAGUCCCUGCCCUUUGUACACACCGCCCGUCGCUACUACCGAUUGAACGUUUUAGUGAGGCAUUUGGACCGACGCAUCUCAGUUUAACCGCUGGUUUGUGUUGGAAAGACUUCCAAACUUGAGCGUUUAGAGGAAGUAAAAGUCGUAACA
rnacentral:rRNA from 1 species